rnacentral:miRNA from 1 species
CAUGUGAGUGUAUAUGUGUGUGCAUGUGCCUGUGUAUGUAUGUGUGUGUGCAUGUGUGUGCAUGUACCUAUGUGUGUGUGUGCAUGUGUGUGUGCCUGUGUGUAUGUGUG